rnacentral:misc_RNA from 1 species
GAUGAAGAACGUAGCGAAAUGCGAUACGUAAUGUGAAUUGCAGAAUUCAGUGAAUCAUCGAGUCUUUGAACGCACAUUGCGCCCCCUGGUAUUCCGGGGGGCAUGCCUGUCCGAGCGUCAUUGCUGCCCUCAAGCACGGCUUGUGUGUUGGGCCUCCGCCCCCCGGCUCCCGGGGGGCGGGCCCGAAAGGCAGCGGCGGCACCGCAUCCGGUCCUCGAGCGUAUGGGGCUUCGUCACCCGCUCCGUAGGCCCGGCCGGCGCCCGCCGGCGACCCCCCUCAAUCUUUCCAGGUUGACCUCGGAUCAGGUAGGGAUACCCGCUGAACUUAAGCAUAUCAAUAAGCGGAGGA